GAUGAACGCUAGCUACAGGCUUAACACAUGCAAGUCGAGGGGAAACGACAUCGAAAGCUUGCUUUUGAUGGGCGUCGACCGGCGCACGGGUGAGUAACGCGUAUCCAACCUGCCCAUCACUUGGGGAUAACCUUGCGAAAGUAAGACUAAUACCCAAUGAUAUCUCUAGAAGACAUCUGAAAGAGAUUAAAGAUUUAUCGGUGAUGGAUGGGGAUGCGUCUGAUUAGCUUGUUGGCGGGGUAACGGCCCACCAAGGCAACGAUCAGUAGGGGUUCUGAGAGGAAGGUCCCCCACAUUGGAACUGAGACACGGUCCAAACUCCUACGGGAGGCAGCAGUGAGGAAUAUUGGUCAAUGGGCGAGAGCUUGAACCAGCCAAGUAGCGUGCAGGAAGACGGCCCUAUGGGUUGUAAACUGCUUUUAUAAGGGAAUAAAGUGAGAGUCGUGACUCUUUUUGUAUGUACCUUAUGAAUAAGGACCGGCUAAUUCCGUG
rnacentral:rRNA from 1 species